AUACGGAGGGUGCAAGCGUUAUUCGGAAUCACUGGGCGUAAAGGACGCGUAGGCGGGUUGGCAAGUCAGAUGUGAAAUCCUACAGCUUAACUGUAGAACUGCAUUUGAAACUGCUAACCUAGAGUAUGGGAGGGGGAGAUGGAAUUAGUGGUGUAGGGGUAAAAUCCGUAGAUAUCACUAGGAAUACCGAAAGCUAAGGCGAUCUCCUGGAACAUAACUGACGCUAAGGCGUGAAAGCGCGGGGAGCAAACAGGAUUAGAAACCCUAGUAGUCC
rnacentral:rRNA from 1 species